rnacentral:rRNA from 1 species
UACGGAGAGUGCGAGCGUUGUUCGGAAUCACUGGGCGUAAAGGGCGUCUAGGCGGCUUGCCAAGUCAGAUGUGAAAUCCCUCGGCUCAACCGAGGACGUGCAUCUGAAACUGGUGAGCUUGAGUAUUGGAGGGGGCAGUGGAAUUCCCGGUGUAGAGGUGAAAUUCGUAGAUAUCGGGAGGAACACCAGUGGCGAAGGCGGCUGCCUGGCCAAAUACUGACGCUGAAGCGCGAAAGCGUGGGGAGCAAAC